rnacentral:rRNA from 1 species
GGGGAGAACGCUGGCGGCGUGCCUAAUACAUGCAAGUCGAACGAACUCUGGUAUUGAUUGGUGCUUGCAUCAUGAUUUACAUUUGAGUGAGUGGCGAACUGGUGAGUAACACGUGGGAAACCUGCCCAGAAGCGGGGGAUAACACCUGGAAACAGAUGCUAAUACCGCAUAACAACUUGGACCGCAUGGUCCGAGUUUGAAAGAUGGCUUCGGCUAUCACUUUUGGAUGGUCCCGCGGCGUAUUAGCUAGAUGGUGGGGUAACGGCUCACCAUGGCGAUGAUACGUAGCCGACCUGAGAGGGUAAUCGGCCACAUUGGGACUGAGACACGGCCCAAACUCCUACGGGAGGCAGCAGUAGGGAAUCUUCCACAAUGGACGAAAGUCUGAUGGAGCAACGCCGCGUGAGUGAAGAAGGGUUUCGGCUCGUAAAACUCUGUUGUUAAAGAAGAACAUAUCUGAGAGUAACUGUUCAGGUAUUGACGGUAUUUAACCAGAAAGCCACGGCUAACUACGUGCCAGCAGCCGCGGUAAUACGUAGGUGGCAAGCGUUGUCCGGAUUUAUUGGGCGUAAAGCGAGCGCAGGCGGUUUUUUAAGUCUGAUGUGAAAGCCUUCGGCUCAACCGAAGAAGUGCAUCGGAAACUGGGAAACUUGAGUGCAGAAGAGGACAGUGGAACUCCAUGUGUAGCGGUGAAAUGCGUAGAUAUAUGGAAGAACACCAGUGGCGAAGGCGGCUGUCUGGUCUGUAACUGACGCUGAGGCUCGAAAGUAUGGGUAGCAAACAGGAUUAGAUACCCUGGUAGUCCAUACCGUAAACGAUGAAUGCUAAGUGUUGGAGGGUUUCCGCCCUUCAGUGCUGCAGCUAACGCAUUAAGCAUUCCGCCUGGGGAGUACGGCCGCAAGGCUGAAACUCAAAGGAAUUGACGGGGGCCCGCACAGCGGUGGAGCAUGUGGUUAAUUCGAGCUA